GACUGUCUCACUGGUUAAAAAUAAAAUUUAUUUUAAGAAAUGCGGAGGAGCGACAAGAAUUUCCCGUGUAAAAUACGUCGUUUUCUAAUGAAAGUCGUAGUUUUUAGAAAUGGGAAUUUUAUAACAAAAGGAUUAUAAAAACACUGAUGAUGAUGACAAACAAUUUGUUUCCGACAUUUAUACCGGUAGGAUAUAUCCAUUUUGAUAACAGAAGAAUUAACGGUCACUAUCUGUGUUUAGAGAUUGAAUAGAAAAUACAACUACAGUCAAUGUCUCAAAAAGGAUGUUUGAAUGAUGCACAUGGUGCAUGUAUCUCUGAGCCAAUGUGUGUCUACCACAAGUCAGAAUAUAUUCGAUUUUAUUGUGAAGAAUGCCGAGUUUUUAUUUGCGACGACUGCAUUACUGGGAAAGGCAAACAUAGAAGAUGUUUUAAGACAAAACUAAGUGACUAUGGAAAUAGAACAAGACGUUUGUUAAGAGAAAGGACAAAAAGAGCAGAAGACAAACUCUCCAAAUUAAGUUCAGAAUUGGAUCUUGCUAUGCACGUUCAAAAACGUUUCAAUGAAGCAGUGGACGAAAGCAUUAGUUCGGUUGUAUUCAGAAGAGAAAUCAUACGACAGAAAUUUGACGAUUUACAAAAAGAGUUGAUAACUAAAUUAGAUGGCUUGCGUAACCAGGCAAAUACGCAAUAUGAAGAAUUCAUCAAUCUUCAUACUAAUCAAUACUGCAAAAUGAAAGAAAUUACAGAGACUAUCCGUACUACGGAAACGGAAAUGACUGAAAACGAUAUGGUGACGUAUACUUCUAAACUGAAUAAAUUUAUAGAUAGUUCGGAGGCUGUUCCAAAACUUGAGCCCCCAAGCUAUGUGACGGAUGACAAGUAUUUUUCCUCAAAAUAUCUACGACAACUAUUUGGCGAUAUUGAAUUUGUUGAGUUAAAUUACCUGCCAAUUGCAACUUAUUGAGCCAGACACCAACCAACGUAGUUCUAUCUCAAGACUAUAAAUACCAACAUACAGAAGAAAAAGAAAAGAUAAUGUACAUGCCACUUUUUCUUUAGAUGGUGAAAAUGACAAAGCGUCAGGAGCCGAAACUUUAAAAAAAAAAAUUUUUAACUACAAAUUAUCCUAGAAAGAUCAUGAACAUGAAUGACAUAUUUGCCACUGGACGCUUAACAACCCAUAAAUAAUCCAUUAAAGAAAGAAAAGGAGAAAGAAUAAAAUGAAAAAAGAAGAAAGAAAUUCACAUGCUUCUUUUUCCAAGGUUCCAAUUCAGUGAUCAUUUAUGUGUAAUCUCGGUUUAGUAUGUCCCUUCGAAAUCUAAAACUUUUCAUUUAUUUGUAGGUUUGAAUUUACCAACUUUAAUAUAUUUAUAACUUUAGUACUAUAAGAAAUUUCUCAUGAAUGUUAUCAUAUUAGAUUAUUUAUUUUGA